AACGAACGCUGGCGGCAGGCCUAACACAUGCAAGUCGAACGCACCGCAAGGUGAGUGGCGCACGGGUGAGUAACACGUGGGAAUGUACCCUUUGGUUCGGAAUAACGUUUGGAAACGAACGCUAAUACCGGAUGAGCCCUGCGGGGGAAAGAUUUAUCGCCAAAGGAGCAGCCCGCGUCUGAUUAGCUAGUUGGUGGGGUAAAGGCCUACCAAGGCGACGAUCAGUAGCUGGUCUGAGAGGAUGAUCAGCCACACUGGGACUGAGACACGGCCCAGACUCCUACGGGAGGCAGCAGUGGGGAAUAUUGGACAAUGGGCGGAAGCCUGAUCCAGCCAUGCCGCGUGAGUGAUGAAGGCCUUCGGGUUGUAAAGCUCUUUCGCACGCGACGAUGAUGACGGUAGCGUGAGAAGAAGCCCCGGCUAACUUCGUGCCAGCCGCCGCCGUAACAC
rnacentral:rRNA from 1 species